GAUGAAGAACGCAGCGAAAUGCGAUAAGUAAUGCGAAUUGCAGAAUUUCCGUGAGUCAUCGAAUCUUUGAACGCACAUUGCGCCCGAGGCCUCGGCCAAGGGCAUGUCUGCCUCAGCGUCGGCCAACACCCUCACUCCCCUCUCGCAGGGGCCAGUGGAGCUGGCAGUCUCGGCCCCCACCAUGGGGGGCCGGGUCUGCUGAAGCACAGAGGCUUGAGCAUCGACCCGCUGCUCGGGCGCCGGCUUGGUAGGUAGCUUGCUACAUGCCGCCGGCGCCUGUGGGGCCUUGCUGGGAGCCGGUCGGAGCCCCGCCACUCGUGGCGGGCCCAACCCCCUUUCACAUUCGACCUGAGAUCAGGCAAGACUACCCGCUGAACUUAAGCAUAUCAAUAAGCGGAGGA
rnacentral:misc_RNA from 1 species